rnacentral:rRNA from 1 species
CCUACGGGAGGCAGCAGUGGGGAAUAUUGGGCAAUGGAGGAAACUCUGACCCAGCGACGCCGCGUGCGGGAUGAGGGCCUUCGGGUUGUAAACCGCUUUCAGCAGGGAAGAAGCGAAAGUGACGGUACCUGCAGAAGAAGCACCGGCUAACUAUGUGCCAGCAGCCGCGGUAAUACAUAGGGUGCAAGCGUUGUCCGGAAUUAUUGGGCGUAAAGAGCUCGUAGGUGGUUCGUCACGUCGGAUGUGAAAAUCUGGGGCUUAACCCCAGACCUGCAUUCGAUACGGGCGAGCUUGAGUAUGGUAGGGGAGUCUGGAAUUCCUGGUGUAGCGGUGGAAUGCGCAGAUAUCAGGAGGAACACCAAUGGCGAAGGCAGGACUCUGGGCCAUUACUGACACUGAGGAGCGAAAGCGUGGGGAGCGAACAGGAUUAGAUACCCUGUAGUCCACGCCGUAAACGGUAGGGCACUAGUUGUGGGGUACCUUCCGACGGUCUCCGCGACGCAGCUAACGCAUUAAGUGCCCGCCGUGGGAGUACGAGUCGCAAGAUUAAACUACAAAUUGAAUUGACGG